CGGGAAUUUUGGGCAAUGGGCGAAAGCCUGACCCAGCGACGCCGCGUGAGGGAUGAAGUAUUUCGGUAUGUAAACCUCGAAAGAAUGGGAAGAAUAAAUGACGGUACCAUUUAUAAGCUCCGGCUAACUACGUGCCAGCAGCCGCGGUAAUACGUAGGGAGCAAGCGUUGUUCGGAUUUACUGGGCGUAAAGGGCGCGUAGGCGGCGCGGUAAGUCACUUGUGAAAUCUCUGAGCUUAACUCAGAACGGCCAAGUGAUACUGCUGUGCUAGAGUGCGGAAGAGGCAACCGGAAUUCUUGGUGUAGCGGUGAAAUGCGUAGACAUCAAGAGGAACACCUGAGGCGAAGGCGGGUUGCUGGGCCGACACUGACGCUGAUGCGCGAAAGCCAGGGGAGCAAACG
rnacentral:rRNA from 1 species